AGUGAACGCUGGCGGUAGGCCUAACACAUGCAAGUCGAACGGCAGCACAGUAAGAGCUUGCUCUUACGGGUGGCGAGUGGCGGACGGGUGAGGAAUACAUCGGAAUCUACUUUUUCGUGGGGGAUAACGUAGGGAAACUUACGCUAAUACCGCAUACGACCUACGGGUGAAAGCAGGGGAUCUUCGGACCUUGCGCGAUUGAAUGAGCCGAUGUCGGAUUAGCUAGUUGGCGGGGUAAAGGCCCACCAAGGCGACGAUCCGUAGCUGGUCUGAGAGGAUGAUCAGCCACACUGGAACUGAGACACGAUCCAGACUCCUACGGGAGGCAGCAGUGGGGAAUAUUGGACAAUGGGCGCAAGCAUGAUCCAGCCAUACCGCGUGGGUGAAGAAGGCCUUCGGGUUGUAAAGCCCUUUUGUUGGGAAAGAAAAGCAGCAGGUUAAUACCCCGCUGUUCUGACGGUACCCAAAGAAUAAGCACCGGCUAACUUCGUG
rnacentral:rRNA from 1 species